rnacentral:rRNA from 1 species
GAAGGGACCUAGCGUAGUUCGGAAUUACUGGGCUUAAAGAGCACGUAGGUGGUUAAGAAAGUUGGUGGUGAAAUCCCAAGGCUUAACCUUGGAACUGCCACCAAAACUUUUUAACUAGAGUAUGAUUGAGGUAAGCGGAAUUUCUAGUGUAGAGGUGAAAUUCGUAGAUAUUAGAAAGAACACCAAUUGCGAAGGCAGCUUUCUGGAUCAUUACUGACACUGAGGUGCGAAAGCAUGGGUAGCGAAGAGGAUUAGAUACCCUCGUAGUCCAUGCUGUAAACGAUGUGUGCUAGACGUUGGGAAUUUAUUUUUCAGUGUCGCAGCAAAAGCGUUAAGCACACCGCCUGGGAAGUACGACCGCAAGGUUAAAACUCAAAUGAAUUGACGGGGACCCGCACAAGUAGUGGAGCAUGUGGUUUAAUUCGAAGAUACGCGCAGAACCUUACCAACACUUGACAUGUUCGUCGCGACUCUAAGAGAUUAGAGUUUUCGGUUCGGCCGGACGAAACACAGGUGCUGCAUGGCUGUCGUCAGCUCGUGUCGUGAGAUGUUGGGUUAAGUCCCGCAACGAGCGCAACCCUUACUUUUAGUUGCUACCAUUUAGUUGGGCACUCUAAAAGAACUGCCAGUGAUAAGCUGGAGGAAGGUGGGGAUGACGUCAAGUCCUCAUGGCCCUUAUGUGUUGGGCUACACACGUGCUACAAUGGUAUUUACAGUGGGAAGCAAAGAGGCAACUCCAAGCAAACCCUCAAAAAAUACCUCAGUUCGGAUUGUACUCUGCAACUCGAGUACAUGAAGCUGGAAUUACUAGUAAUCGCGGAUCAGCGCGCCGCGGUGAAUACGUUCCCCGGGUCUU